CUACGGAGGGGGUUAGCGUUGUUCGGAAUUACUGGGCGUAAAGUGCACGUAGGCGGACUGGAAAGUUGGGGGUGAAAUCCCGGGGCUCAACCCCGGAACUGCCUCCAAAACUUCCAAUCUAGAGAUCGAGAGAGGUGAGUGGAAUUCCAAGUGUAGAGGUGAAAUUCGUAGAUAUUUGGAGGAACACCAGUGGCGAAGGCGGCUCACUGGCUCGAUACUGACGCUGAGGUGCGAAAGCGUGGGGAGCAAACAGGAUUAGAAACCCUAGUAGUCC
rnacentral:rRNA from 1 species